rnacentral:rRNA from 1 species
AUUGAACGCUGGCGGCAGGCUUAACACAUGCAAGUCGAGCGGGGUGAUGGUGCUUGCACUAUCACUUAGCGGCGGACGGGUGAGUAAUGCUUAGGAAUCUGCCUAUUAGUGGGGGACAACAUCUCGAAAGGGAUGCUAAUACCGCAUACGUCCUACGGGAGAAAGCAGGGGAUCACUUGUGACCUUGCGCUAAUAGAUGAGCCUAAGUCGGAUUAGCUAGUUGGUGGGGUAAAGGCCUACAAAGGCGACGAUCUGUAGCGGGUCUGAGAGGAUGAUCCGCCACACUGGGGCUGAGACACGGCCCGGACUCCUACGGGAGGCAGCAGUGGGGAAUAUUGGACAAUGGGGGGAACCCUGAUCCAGCCAUGCCGCGUGUGUGAAGAAGGCCUUAUGGUUGUAAAGCACUUUAAGCGAGGAGGAGGCUCUUUUGGUUAAUACCCAAGAUGAGUGGACGUUACUCGCAGAAUAAGCACCGGCUAACUCUGUGCCAGCAGCCGCCGUAA